UGAGUAACACGUGGGUAACCUGCCUCAUAGAGGGGAAUAGCCUUCCGAAAGGAAGAUUAAUACCGCAUAAGAUUGUAAUAUCGCAUGAUAUAGCAAUUAAAGGAGUAAUCCGCUAUGAGAUGGACCCGCGUCGCAUUAGCUAGUUGGUGAGGUAACGGCUCACCAAGGCGACGAUGCGUAGCCGACCUGAGAGGGUGAUCGGCCACAUUGGGACUGAGACACGGCCCAGACUCCUACGGGAGGCAGCAGUGGGGAAUAUUGCACAAUGGGGGAAACCCUGAUGCAGCCAACGCCGCGUGAGUGAUGACGGUCUUCGGAUUGUAAAGCUCUGUCUUCAGGGACGAUAAUGACGGUACCUGAGGAGGAAGCCACGGCUAACUACGUGCCAGCCGCAGC
rnacentral:rRNA from 1 species